GAUGAAGAACGUAGCGAAAUGCGAUAACUAAUGUGAAUUGCAGAAUUCAGUGAAUCAUCGAGUCUUUGAACGCACAUUGCGCCCCCUGGUAUUCCGGGGGGCAUGCCUGUCCGAGCGUCAUUGCUGCCCUCAAGCACGGCUUGUGUGUUGGGCUCCGUCCCCCCGGGGACGGGCCCGAAAGGCAGCGGCGGCACCGAGUCCGGUCCUCGAGCGUAUGGGGCUUUGUCACCCGCUCUGUAGGCCCGGCCGGCGCCAGCCGACAACCCAUCAUCCUUUUCAGGUUGACCUCGGAUCAGGUAGGGAUACCCGCUGAACUUAAGCAUAUCAAUUAAGCGGAGGA
rnacentral:misc_RNA from 1 species